AAAUAUUAAAAUCAAUUUUUAAUAAUUGAACUUUGAUAGCAAUUUUUAACUAUAAAUAUUUAAUAUGUUCAAAUAAAAUUUUAAAAAAUUAAGUUCAGAUUUCAAUUAAGGUAUUUUUGAUUUAUGACAAAGUUCGAACUGAACCCUGCCAUCAUAAGUUGGAAAUGUCCAAAAUUUAUGGAUUGCCCACUACCAAUAUUUUCUAUUACACUCCACCUUAUUGUAACAAAACAAACCACAAAAAGACAAAAACUAGACACAAAAAGGAUGGUUUUUGUAUAUCAGACCAUUGGCCAGGGAUUUGAGUUUUUUUGUCAAUUGCAUUGACCAAUCGCAAAAUUUUCCUACGAUAUUACCAUUAUAAGUCAAGGAUUAAAUUUUAUUAUUCCAAAAAUACAUAAGAUAAGCUCCAU
rnacentral:lncRNA from 1 species